GAUGAACGCUGGCGGCGUGCUUAACACAUGCAAGUCGAACGGAAAGGCCCUGCUUUCGUGGGGUGCUCGAGUGGCGAACGGGUGAGUAACACGUGCGUACCCUGCCCUUGCCUUUGGGAUAACUUCCGGAAACUGGGGCUAAUACCGGCUAGGAGCUCCUGCUGCAUGGUGGGGGUUGGUAAGUUUCGGCGGGUGGGGUUGGACUCGCGGCUUAUCAGCUUGUUGGUGGGGUAGUGGCUUACCAAGGCGUUGACGGGUAGCCGGCGUGAGAGGGUGACCGGGCACAGUGGGACUGAGAUACGGCCCGGACUCGUACGGGAGGCAGCAGUGGGGAAUAUUGCACAAUGGGGGGAAGCCGGAUGCAGCAACGCCGCGUGCGGGAUGGCGGCCUUCUGGUUGUAAACCGCUUUCGCCUGUGACGAAGCGUGAGUGACGGUAAUGUGUAAAGAAGCACCGGCUAACUACGUG
rnacentral:rRNA from 1 species